rnacentral:rRNA from 1 species
ACAACAGUUAGAAAUGACUGCUAAUACCGCAUAAGCCUACGGAGUCGCAUGGCUCAGUAGGAAAAAUUCCGGUGGUACAGGAUGGGCCCGCGUCUGAUUAGCCAGUUGGUGAGGUAAUGGCUCACCAAGGCGACGAUCAGUAGCCGGCUUGAGAGAGUGAACGGCCACAUUGGGACUGAGACACGGCCCAAACUCCUACGGGAGGCAGCAGUGGGGAAUAUUGCACAAUGGGGGAAACCCUGAUGCAGCAACGCCGCGUGAGUGAAGAAGUAUUUCGGUAUGUAAAGCUCUAUCAGCAGGGAAGAAAAUGACGGUACCUGACUAAGAAGCACCGGCUAAAUACGUGCCAGCAGCCGCGGUAAUACGUAUGGUGCAAGCGUUAUCCGGAUUUACUGGGUGUAAAGGGAGCGCAGGCGGUCUGGCAAGUCUGAUGUGAAAAUCCGGGGCUCAACUCCGGAACUGCAUUGGAAACUGUCAGACUAGAGUGUCGGAGAGGUAAGUGGAAUUCCUAGUGUAGCGGUGAAAUGCGUAGAUAUUAGGAGGAACACCAGUGGCGAAGGCGGCUUACUGGACGAUAACUGACGCUGAGGCUCGAAAGCGUGGGGAGCAAACAGGAUUAGAUACCCUGGUAGUCCACGCCGUAAAC